UACGGAGGGUGCAAGCGUUAUCCGGAUUCACUGGGUUUAAAGGGUGCGUAGGUGGGUUGGUAAGUCAGUGGUGAAAUCUCCGAGCUUAACUUGGAAACUGCCAUUGAUACUAUCAGUCUUGAAUAUUGUGGAGGCUAGCGGAAUAUGUCAUGUAGCGGUGAAAUGCUUAGAUAUGACAUAGAACACCAAUUGCGAAGGCAGCUGGCUACGCAUAUAUUGACACUGAGGCACGAAAGCGUGGGGAUCAAACAGG
rnacentral:rRNA from 1 species